rnacentral:rRNA from 1 species
UCCAUCCUACGGGACGCAGCAGUGAGGAAUAUUGGUCAAUGGGCUUACGCCUGAACCAGCCAAGUCGCGUGAGGGAAGACUGCCCUAUGGGUUGUAAACCUCUUUUGUCAGGGAGCAACGCCGGCUACGUGUAGCCGGACUGAGAGUACCUGAAGAAAAAGCAUCGGCUAACUCCGUGUCAGCAGCCGCGGUAAUACGGAGGAUGCGAGCGUUAUCCGGAUUUACUGGGUGUAAAGGGAGCGUAGGCGGCAAGGUAAGUAAGAUGUGAAAGCCCGCAGCUUAACUGCGAGGAUUGCAUUUUAAAC